UGUCGUCCCCGCGAGACAGACUCCCUUGUGCAGCCUUCCGCACCUCAAGCAUCUUGAACUGCCUGAGCCAGAGCUCGAACCACCAAAACCCAAACUAGCCUUCAGAUUCUGCCAAAACUUCUUCUUCUUACCCCUAAGGGUUCUGCCCCACUUCACUCUUCUAGUGGUGGCUGUACUCAGAAUGGAGGGAUCAAUCCCUCCUGAACCUGAAAUCCUGGAAUCCUGAGUCUGAGCGUCCUCCUGAGAAUCUCCCAUACCUUCUUCAGGUACUCUGACUCCCAUACUGACAUCCCUUCUCUGAACAUCCGACUCUACUUCUCUCAUACUAGC
rnacentral:lncRNA from 1 species